rnacentral:rRNA from 1 species
UACAGAGGAGCCAAGCGUUGUCCGGAUUGACUGGGCGUAAAGCGCACGCAGGCGGCUCCGCGCGUGGGGUGUGAAAUCUGGCCGCUUAACGGCCAGGCGCCAUCCCAUACGGCGGAGCUGGAGUGAUGCAGAGGUCGAUGGAAUUGCCGGUGUAGUGGUGAAAUGCGUAGAGAUCGGUAGGAACACCCAGGGGGAAACCAGUCGACUGGGCAUCUACUGACGCUGAGGUGCGAGAGCGUGGGGAGCGAACCGG